CAGUGGGUACGGGAAUUCCUGGUGUAGCGGUGGAAUGCGCAGAUAUCAGGAGGAACACCGAUGGCGAAGGCAGAUCUCUGGGCCGUAACUGACGCUGAGGAGCGAAAGGGUGGGGAGCAAACAGGCUUAGAUACCCUGGUAGUCCACCCCGUAAACGUUGGGAACUAGUUGUGGGGUCCAUUCCACGGAUUCCGUGACGCAGCUAACGCAUUAAGUUCCCCGCCUGGGGAGUACGGCCGCAAGGCUAAAACUCAAAGGAAUUGACGGGGACCCGCACAAGCGGCGGAGCAUGCGGAUUAAUUCGAUGCAACGCGAAGAACCUUACCAAGGCUUGACAUAUACGAGAACGGUCCAGAAAUGGUCAACUCUUUGGACACUCGUAAACAGGUGGUGGGAAUUCCUGGUGUAGCGGUGGAAUGCGCAGAUAUCAGGAGGAACACCGAUGGCGAAGGCAGAUCUCUGGGCCGUAACUGACGCUGAGGAGCGAAAGGGUGGGGAGCAAACAGGCUUAGAUACCCUGGUAGUCCACCCCGUAAACGUUGGGAACUAGUUGUGGGGUCCAUUCCACGGAUUCCGUGACGCAGCUAACGCAUUAAGUUCCCCGCCUGGGGAGUACGGCCGCAAGGCUAAAACUCAAAGGAAUUGACGGGGACCCGCACAAGCGGCGGAGCAUGCGGAUUAAUUCGAUGCAACGCGAAGAACCUUACCAAGGCUUGACAUAUACGAGAACGGUCCAGAAAUGGUCAACUCUUUGGACACUCGUAAACAGGUGGU
rnacentral:rRNA from 1 species